rnacentral:rRNA from 1 species
GGUGAAAAGCACCCCGGAAGGGGAGUGAAAUAGAACCUGAAACCGUGUGCUUACAAGUAGUCAGAGCCCGUUAAUGGGUGAUGGCGUGCCUUUUGUAGAAUGAACCGGCGAGUUACGAUUUGAUGCAAGGUUAAGCAGUAAAUGUGGAGCCGUAGCGAAAGCGAGUCUGAAUAGGGCGUUUAGUAUUUGGUCGUAGACCCGAAACCAGGUGAUCUACCCUUGGUCAGGUUGAAGUUCAGGUAA